CACGUAGGGGGCAAGCGUUGUCCGGAUUUAUUGGGCGUAAAGAGCUCGUAGGUGGUUCGGUAAGUCGGGUGUUAAACCCCCAGGCUCAACCUGGGGACGCCACUCGAUACUGCUGUGACUAGAGUCCGGUAGGGGAGCGUGGAAUUCCUGGUGUAGCGGUGAAAUGCGCAGAUAUCAGGAGGAACACCGGUGGCGAAGGCGGUUCUCUGGGCAUUACCUGACGUGAGGAGCGAAAAGUGUGGGGGAGCGAACAGG
rnacentral:rRNA from 1 species